CAGUGUUUCCCCCAAACUGCAUCUUUUCAAAAGCUGUUUUAAUCUGUAGGAGCCAGACUGUAAAUUAACCAAAAAACAGCCUAGGAAAAGCAAAUAUUGGUGCAGAGCAAGCUCAAGACUGGCUGAUUCAUUGAAACCUCAUGCUGUUCCUAGGAGCUAUGGUGGGAAAGCUGGAACCUGGAAAGUGCCAACCUUAAGCUGUGCUUCAAUGCUCCAAAGCCUCUGCAGCCCAAACCAGGUGAGAAAGCAACUCAUGCCAGAGAUUUUGGUGAAAAACUGAGGAAGGAUGUUGCAAAAAACAAGCACAAGAACAAAGGCUGAUGAGGAUGAAGACAAGAAGAAAAGCAACUCCUUUUUUUUGAAGAGGAAUCUCCAAAUUUUGGAGGGAUGUUCCAGAACCCCCUGAAUUUGAUGGAAACAUCAGAACUUCCUUCAUCAGGCACUGGAUCAGACUUCACAUGUUAAUUUGACAGACCAGUCUGGAAUACUGGCUCCUCAAUGGGUUUGAUCGAAGAAAAAGGAUUUUAAUUUGUGAAAUACAUGGGAGUAUGAGAGGAAAUUACAUCUGGGGAUUGCACCAGGUGAUUUCUGUUUAAUAAGAUGAGAGACUUCCCUCGGUCCAUUUGGAAACCACUUGACAGGGUCUGUGCAGCUGCUUAAUUGGAUGCAUUAAAGCAUCUGACUGGUGCAUCCAUCAGCGUCCUUGCAGCCUCCAGGAGCUUUCUGAUGGCUUUGGAAUUUUGCUUGGCAUGUCCUAUUCCUUAGAAAAGCUCCUCUCCAAAGCUGACAGCUCCCAGCCUGACCAUGGUGGCAAGGAUGAAGGAUUUGGGCACAUCCAGCCCUGCAGGCUGGAGUUGAGCAUGGGCUGUAGAUCCCAGGAUCAGAAUUUGGAGGUGAAAAUCUGGAGCUUUGCUGUGAGACACGUUCACUGUGGAUGUACAUUCCAGGAUCAGGAGUUUGGAGGUGAGAGUUUGGAGCUUUGCUGUGGGACAAGUUCACUGUGGCUGAGAUGGAUUUGGGCACAUCCAACCCUGCAGGCUGGACCUGAUCCCAGGGCUGUAGAACCCAGGAUCAGGAAUUUGGAGGUGAAGGUUUGGAUUUUUGCUGUGAGAUGUUCACUGUGGCUGUAGAUCCCAAGAUCAGCAAUUUGAAGGUGAAAAUCUGGAUUUUUGCUGUGAGACACGUUCACUGUGGCUGAGAUGGAUAUGGGCACCUCCCUGCAGGCUGGAGCUGAUCGCAGGGCUGUAGAUCCCAGGAUCAAGAAUUUGGAGGUGAAAAUUUGGAUUUUUGCUGUGAGACACAUUCACUGUAGAUCCCAGGAUCAGAAUUUGGAGGUGAAAAUCUGGAUUUUUGCUGUGAGACACGUUCACUGAGGCUGAGAUGGAUUCCAGAGGUCGAUAGCUCAGCCCCCAGAAAGAAAUGAGGUGAAAGAGCCUGAUUGUGUUGGACACCCUGCAGCUGACUCAGCAAGGCCAAGUGUGCAACCUCAAAAUUAAAUACUUUGAAGCUGAUUUAAUUGUCACAUGAGCUGUGAGUUUUUUAAUCAGGUGCCUGUUUCUAUCUGACAUGGGGAUGCUAUUUCUGUGUAGGGAUGAUGGCAGCAAUGCUGUCUCUGCUUUUCUGUGCGAGGCCAGGUGUAAGCAUUGUGUCAUUUUUAUUCAGACAAUUCCAGCAUUUCAGAGCUUCCUCACUAAUUUAGUUUUAAUUGUCCAGACCUUGCCCUCAUCAAGCAAAAGAAAAAUGGGUCUGGCACUUCCACGUUACCAUGAGCUGCUCAAAAUGAGAGAUAAAUGAGGGACAAAGCCAUUAAAAUGAUGUGGGCAGUGCAAUUUUAACAGCCAAACUCGAGUGGAGCGUGUUGGUUGUGUGUGAAUAUCCCCAUUACCAAAGUAAAUAAGCCCAGCUGUUGGCAAAUCUGAAUUUCAGCUCUAAAUGGCCUUGGCUUCUCAGUGACCUCUGCAGAGAGGGAACAGCUGGAUUGCUCACACAGAUCCUGCCGCGUCGGGCCAGUUUUUGUGUGAGUGAAUAUUGAGGUUUUUCCUGCUCUGGCUGUGCUGCAGAUGUGGGCACUGGGAGCUGAUUUGCUGUUUGAGGCUCUGAACCAUCACUCAUUAAAGCCACUCUGCUGCCUUUAGCAUCAGGCUGGCAGUAAAUCUGUAUCACAUUCUUCUCUGCUGCUAACAUCAACAAUUCCCAGGCAGAAGCUUCCUCGUUUGAGGGUGUGUUUAAAUGGCUAUCUUGUAUCUGAAAUUUAGUCCUGGUAAUGUAUUAAUUAGCCUUUUUUUUUGGAGUUUAGUGUACCUUUUAAUUAACUGAAGCCAGCAACACAGUUUACACAUUUAAAAUCCCAGUCCUUUAAAUCGUUGCAAGUUUUGUCCUAAACUCACAGAAAUCAAUAGAUAGAGUCCUGCAGCUUUCCCAAGAGCUAAAUGCCUGUAAUUACAGCUGGAAGGUGAGACCCCAGAGUGGGGACAGAAAGUUUUCUGGGGUGCUUUGCUGUUUGUCCCCGCAGCACUCACACAUUUAAAAUCCUAAUCCUUUAAAUCAUUGCAAGUUUUGUCCUAAACUCACAGAAAUCAAUAGAUAAAGUCCUGCAGCUUUCCCAAGAGCUAAAUGCCCGUAAUUACAGCUGGAAGGUGAGACCCCAGAGUGGGGACAGAAAGUUUUCUGGGAUGCUUUGCUGUUCCUCCCCUCAGCACUCAGGGCACUCCUGCCUGGCCAGUAACGAGCAGGGCUCCAGGAGCGUUGUGUACUUUUGCUUUGAUUUGAUUUAAUGCUCUCUACAGUGAUAACAAUCACUCAGGCACCACGUCCAGCCUCUGCCUGCUGCUCUCCUGCCUUGUUAAAUGCAAGUGCACUCUCGGCUGAAGUGGCUGCAGCGAUUUGAGAUCCGUGCUCAUCACCUCGUUAACAAAAUCCAAAAUUCCCAUCCAGGCAACCCCUCAGGCUCCUUUCCCCAGGAAAGCAGCACAUCCCUGCCUCCCACCCUGCUCCUGAGAUGCU